rnacentral:lncRNA from 1 species
UUCGGACCUGAUGUAAAAUCACAAGAUCCUAAAACAUGAGGCUAUGAUUAGAUGAGACUUUGGUGGGUCUUUAACUGGGGAUGAAUGAGUUUUGCAUAUGAGGAGGAUAUGAAAGCUCUUAAAGGCCUGGAAUUUGGAAUAUGUCCACGCAAAAUAUUUGAGGUGUGGUAUUGCCAAUUAUAAUGUUGCGGUUUGCGUGGUCCUGGACUUUUUUUGGUUGGUAGGCUAUUAAUUACUGCCUCAAUUUUAGAACUUGCUAUUUGUCUAUUCAGGGAUUUUACUUCUUCCUGGUUUAGACUUGGGAGGGUGUGUGUGUCUAGGAAUUUAUCAAUUUCUUCUAGAUUUUCUAUUUUAUUUGCAUAGAGGUGUUUAUAGUAUUCUCAGAUGGUAGUUUGUAUUUCUGUGGGAUCAGUGGUUACAACUCCUUUAUCACUUUUUAUUGCAUCUAUUUGAUUUUUCUCUCUUUUCUUGUUUAUUUAGUCUGGCUAGCAGUCUAUCGAUCUUUCAAAAAAACAGCUCCUGAUUUCAUUGAUUUUUUGAAGGGUUUUUCAUGUCUCUAUCUCCUUCAGUUCUGCUCUGAUCUUAGUUAUUUCUUGUCUUCUGCUAGCUUUUGAAUUUGUUUGCUCUUGCUUCUCUAGUUCUUUUGUGAUAUUAGGGUGCCGAUUUUAGAUCUUUCCUGCUUUCUCUUGUGGGCAUUUAUUGCUAUAAAUUUCCCUCUAAACACCGCUUUAGCUGUGUCCCAGAGAUUCUGGUACAUUGUGUCUUUGUUCUCAUUUGCUUCAAAUAACUUAUUUAUUUCUGCCUUAAUUUUGUUAUUUACCUUAAUUUCGUUAUUUAUCCAGUAGUCAUUCAGGAGCAAGUUGUUCAAUUUCCAUGUAGUUGUGUGGUUUUGAGUGAGUUUCUUAAUCCUGAGUUCUAAUUUGAUUGCAGUGUGGUCUGAGAGACUGUUCAUUAUGAUUUCCAUCCUUUUGCAUUUGCUGAGGAGUGUUUUACUUCCAAUUAUGUGGUCAAUUUUAGAGUAAGUGAGAUGAGGUACUGAGAAGAAGGUAUAUUCUGUUGAUUUGGGGUGGAGAGUUCUGCAGAUGUCUAUUAGGUCCUUUUGGUCCAGAGCUGAGUCCAAGUCCUUAACAUUCUUGUUAAUUUUCUGUCUAAAAUUUUCUGUCUGAAUCUGGGUGCUCCUGUAUCGGGUGCAUGUGUAUUUAGGAUAGUUGGCUCUUCUUGUUGCACUGAUUCCUUUACCAUUAUGUAAUGCCUUUCUUUAUCUCUUUUGAUCUUUGUUGGUUUAAAGUCGGCUUUAUCAGAGACUAGGCUUGCAACCCCUGCUUUUCUUUUUUAUUUUUGUUUUUGCUUUCCAUUUGCUUGGUAAAUCUUCCUCUAUCCAUUUAUUUUGAGCCUAUGUGUGUCUUUGCAUGUGAGAUGGGUCUCCUGAAUACAGCACACUGAUGGGUCUUGACUCUUUAUCCAAUUUGCCUGUCAUUUAGUCCGUUUACAUUUAAGGUUAAUAUUGUUAUGUGUGAAUUUGAUACUGUCCUUAUGAUCCUAGCUGGUUAUUUUGCCCGUUAGUUGAUGCAGUUUCUUCGUAGUGUCGAUGUUCUUUACAAUUUGGAAUGUUUUUGCAGUGGCUGGCACCAGUUUUUCCUUUCCAUGUUUAGUGCUUCCUUCGGGAGUUCUUGUAAAGCAGGCCUGGUGGUGACAAAAUCUCUCAGCAUUUGCUUGUCUGUAAAGGAUUUUAUUUCUCCUUUGCUUGUGAAGCUUAGUUUGGCUGAAUAUGAAAUUCUUGGUUGAAAAUUCUUUUCUUUAGGAAUGUUGAAUAUUGGCCCCCACUCUCUUCUGGCUUGUAGGGUUUCUUCCAAGACAUCCACUGUUAGUCUGAUGGGAUUCUCUUUGUGGGUAACCCGACUUUUCUCUCUGGCUGCCCUUAAGAGUUUUUCCUUCAUUUCAACCUUGGUGAAUCUGAUGAUUAUGUGUCUUGGGGUUGCUCUUCUCGAGGAGUAUCUUUGUGGUGUUCUUUGUAUUUCCUGAAUCAGAAUGUUGGCCUGUCUUGCUAGGUUAGAGAUAUUUUCCUGGAUAACAUCC